UAAAGACCUUUUUCGGAAGGUAUGCUUAAAGAGGGGCUUGCGUCACAUUAGUUAGUUGGCAGGGUAAAAGCCUACCAAGACUAUGAUGUGUAGCUGGACCUGAGAGGUUGAACAGCCACAUUGGGACUGAGACACGGCCCAAACUCCUACGGGAGGCAGCAGUAGGGAAUUUUCGGCAAUGGAGGAAACUCUGACCGAGCAACGCCGCGUGAACGAUGAAGUAUUUUCGGUAUGUAAAGUUCUUUUAUUGAAGAAGAAAAAAUAGUGGAAAAACUAUCUUGACGAUAUUCAAUGAAUAAGCCCCGGCAAACUAUGUGCCAGCAGCCGCGGUAAUACAUAGGGGGCGAGCGUUAUCCGGAAUUAUUGGGCGUAAAGGGUGCGUAGGCGGUUUAAUAAGUCUAUAGUUUAAUUUCAGUGCUUAACACUGUCCUGCUAUAGAAACUAUUAGACUAGAGUGAGAUAGAGGCAAGUGGAAUUUCCAUGUGUAGCGGUAAAAUGCGUAAAUAUAUGGAGGAACACCAGAGGCGUAGGCGGCUUGCUGGGUCUUUACUGACGCUGAGGCACGAAAGCGUGGGGAGCAAACAGGAUUAGAUACCCUGGUAGUCCACGCCGUAAACGAUGAGUACUAAGUGUCGGGAUUACUCGGUACUGAAGUUAACACAUUAAGUACUCCGCCUGAGUAGUACGUACGCAAGUAUGAAACUUAAAGGAAUUGACGGGACUCCGCACAAGCGGUGGAUCAUGUUGUUUAAUUCGAAGAUACACGAAAAACCUUACCAGGUCUUGACAUACUCUGCAAAGCUAUAGGCAAUAUAGUGGAGGUUAUCAGGGAUACAGGUGGUGCAUGGUUGUCGUCAGCUCGUGUCGUGAGAUGUUAGGUUAAGUCCUAAAACGAGCGCAACCCUUGUCAUUAGUUGCCAGCAUGUCAUGAUGGGGCACUUUAAUGAGACUGCCAAUGAAAAAUUGGAGGAAGGUGAGGAUCACGUCAAAUCAUCAUGCCCCUUAUGAUCUGGGCUACAAACGUGAUACAAUGGCUGUUACAAAGAGUAGCUGAAACGUAAGUUUAUAGCCAAUCUCAUAAAAGCAGUCUCAGUUCGGAUUGAAGUCUGCAAC
rnacentral:rRNA from 1 species